rnacentral:rRNA from 1 species
UGGGGAAUAUUGCACAAUGGAGGGAACUCUGAUGCAGCGACGCCGCGUGAACGAAGAAGGCUUUCGAGUCGUAAAGUUCUUUUAUAUGGGAAGAUAAUGACGGUACCAUAAGAAGAAGCCCCGGCUAACUACGUGCCAGCAGCCGCGGUAAUAUGUAGGGGGCUAGCGUUGUCCGGAAUCACUGGGCGUAAAGGGUUCGCAGGCGGAAAUGCAAGUCAGGUGUAAAAGGCAGUAGCUUAACUACUGUAAGCAUUUGAAACUGCAUAUCUUGAGAAGAGUAGAGGUAAGUGGAAUUUUUAGUGUAGCGGUGAAAUGCGUAGAUAUUAAAAAGAAUACCGGUGGCGAAGGCGACUUACUGGGCUCAUUCUGACGCUGAGGAACGAAAGCGUGGGUAGCAAACAGG